rnacentral:rRNA from 1 species
CGUAAGGUGCCAAACGAGUCAUUAAAAAAUUAACAUCGUCUGAUUCCUAGUCGGCAUAGUUUAUGGUUAAGACUACGACGGUAUCUGAUCGUCUUCGAUCCCCUAACUUUCGUUCUUGAUUAAUGAAAACAUCCUUGGCAAAUGCUUUCGCAGUAGUUAGUCUUCAAUAAAUCCAAGAAUUUCACCUCUGACAAUUGAAUACUAAUGCCCCCAACUAUCCCUAUUAAUCAUUACGGUGAUCCUAGAAACCAACAAAAUAGAAUCAUGCCGUCCUAUUUUAUUAUUCCAUGCUAAUGUAUUCAAGCAAAAUGCCUGCUUUAAACACUCUAAUUUUUUCAAAGUAAAGGUCCUGGUUCCCCGUGACACCCAAUUAAGGGCAUCGCGGUUCUCCAGAAGGUGAGAAAUUGACUACACCAGUUCAUACCCCUUAAGGCACGACCGAUGUGUCAAUCCCGAAAUUCAACUACGAGCUUUUUAACUGCAACAACUUUAAUAUACGCUAUUGGAGCUGGAAUUACCGCGGCUGCUGGCACCAGACUUGCCCUCCAAUUGUUCCUCGUUAAGGGAUUUAAAUUGUACUCAUUCCAAUUACGAGACCCGAAAGAGCCCCGUAUUGUUAUUUAUUGUCACUACCUCCCCGUGUCGGGAUUGGGUAAUUUGACCCUAAUUCCCCGUUACCCGUUACCACCAUGGUAGGCCUCUAUCCUACCAUCGAAAGUUGAUA